UGUUAUGCGGUUAAACCAGAGACAGGUUAUAAGGACUUUGGUUAAACUAUUGUCACCGUGAACAUCCAUGCAUUAGCGUUAGCCUAACUAAUUUGCUUCCACAACCUUAGCCAUUUUAUCCCAGCUAGGUUAGUUUGUCUACCAACAUCUAGACAUUACAACUAUGUUUACCUGAUAAGAGCGCAUGCCACUACACUAUCCAAAAUGUAGAUCCUGGGCAAGAUGAAUUAUCCUACCAGGGAUGCAUGGAAAGGUAGCCGCAUGUAACAGGUUACGCAAAAUAUAUUGUGUGGGAAUGCAAACCUUAUUGAAACGGAAACUAUUGCAAGGUAGUGCUAAAGUAUUGCGAGAGAACGCACAGGUAGCUAAAAAAAAUAAAAAAAUCCUACCAUGCCCUGUAGGUGGCUCGUCAUAAUUGGUUUGUCUGAAAAGGCGCUGAAAAGACUCCGCAGCUUUAGGGGGAGCUCAGUAGCAAAAAAUGUACUUGAAAAAAAAUUGCGGCUUUAAAAUGUACUUGCUCAGGAACACACGCUCAUUUUCUACAGCGCUCGACGAGAUGCUCUUGUGCGCCGUCACGAGUACGUCCAGGUAGAAGAGCGCAAAAGAAAAUUAACAUUUAAUUUUCCCCGGGUUUUCCAAGAAACUUAAUUGGGACAGGGCCAAACAGAGAAAGUAUGUUGGCUGAAGGAAAGUUCAGGCAACGACUACGAAUGCAUUGAUUUGUGGAUAGGCGUACAUGUGAAAGCACCUCUCCAUUCCGGAAUGACGAGGUUUAUUGUGACAUUGCUUAAAACAGUGACAUUUCUCACGAUGUAUCUCAAUGAAUGCUUUGCCAGCCAGCCAGCCACCAUCACUGUCCAGGCUUUUGUUGGAGAAAAAGUCCUUUUACCCUGUCAAUGCAAAAAAGGGGAUACAUUGUAUUGGCAGACACAGAAAGACAAAAAGGACAUAGUUAUCCGUUCUUAUGGCAAGAAUGGCUCUACAUCCCAUGCUGAAUACACAAACAGGACUACCAUCUCUCCACAUAAGGAGAAAGGAAACUGCUCCUUACUCUUGUUUGAAGUUACUGUGGCAGACCAGCGAGAAUACACCUGUCAUGUUAAUACAAAACCUCUUCGCACAUGGAAGAUCAACCUUAACGUUGUGGCAAAUUAUUCUUCAGUUAAUUGUACUUUCAACAACAUGGUUUACCACUGUAUGGCAAGCGGUGGAUACCCAGAAGGCAAAAUCUAUUGGGAGCAAGAUAACCAGCGUACAGUCAACCAUACUACGUCCAGCCAUGUGGAUACUUCCUCCCUGCUCUACACUUUGAGGAGUACUCUGGAGGUGUUUCAUACAACAAGUGUGGCGUGUGUUGUUGAGAAACCCGGUCAGAUCAUCACUGCAAACUGCAUUCAGGAUUCAGCUCCUCAAAUUGGUAAUGACAGCAAAAAAAACAGUGUCGUCGUGGGGUUAUGUGUCAUCAUUACGUUAGCGGUGGUGCUUUCUGUGGUUGUGGUAGUCUUGCACUGUCGAAAACGUGAGAAUAAUACCUCAAACACGGGGAAUGCUGAGGACGACGAGGAGGAGGCUGAAUUGUACUGAACAUGGAAAGGAGGGACUGAACAUGGAAAAUAAGGAAUUGUCCUGACAUGAACUGCCCUUAAUUACUGUGAUAUAUUGUGUGUGUGUGUGUGUGUGUGUGUGUGUGUGUAAAGACAUUUAUACAAUGUAACUGAAGUAUGCAGAUAGUAUGAACCUUACCAACUUACCAAACCUUAUCAUUUUUUAGUACAGAAUCAGGCCCUUUCUAUAUUCCCAUGUGUAAUGGACCACACUCUGUUGCAUAGUGCAUUUCAGAAUAUACUCAGAACAAUCUCUAAGCUUCUCGAGGAUUGCGUUUCAUCAGAAGUAAAUGACAGAAUUCCUCAGUGCCAUCUAUGAUCCCAAGUUGGAAUGCAUGUACCUCCCUCAGUCUACUCUGAACAAGUUCUGAUCUUAACCUUCCGGAUUCCAUCCUAACCAUCACUUGUGAAAAAGCAAUGAUUUGUGGAGUUGAGGAAUCAUUGAUCUGCUUAAUACACAUUCUUGUGUUCUGUGAAUUUUUGUGUGUGAAGGUUUUGUUAAUACUAACAUACAUCACAACUCUAUGUACCGAUUUUAUAUUAUUUGCUUAUAAUAAAACAUGUCAACUUUAUGAACA
rnacentral:lncRNA from 1 species